rnacentral:tRNA from 1 species
GGGCCGUUAGCUCAGUGGAAGAGCACCUGCCUUUUAAGCAGGGUGUCGCGCGUUCGAACCGCGCACGGCUCA